rnacentral:rRNA from 1 species
GACGAACGCUGGCGGCGUGCCUAAUACAUGCAAGUUGAGCGCUGAAGGUUGGUACUUGUACCAACUGGAUGAGCAGCGAACGGGUGAGUAACGCGUGGGGAAUCUGCCUUUGAGCGGGGGACAACAUUUGGAAACGAAUGCUAAUACCGCAUAAAAACUUUAAACACAAGUUUUAAGUUUGAAAGAUGCAAUUGCAUCACUCAAAGAUGAUCCCGCGUUGUAUUAGCUAGUUGGUGAGGUAAAGGCUCACCAAGGCGAUGAUACAUAGCCGACCUGAGAGGGGGAUCGGCCAAAUUGGGACUGGGACACGGCCCAAACCCCUACGGGAGGGAGCAGUAGGGAAUCUUCGGCAAUGGACGAAAGUCUGACCGAGGAACGCCGCGUGAGUGAAGAAGGGUUUCGGAUCGUAAAACUCUGUUGGUAGAGAAGAACGUUGGUGAGAGUGGAAAGCUCAUCAAGUGACGGUAACUACCCAGAAAGGGACGGCUAACUACGUG